UACAGAGGGUGCAAGCGUUAAUCGGAAUUACUGGGCGUAAAGCGUGCGUAGACGGUUGCGUAAGUCAGAUGUGAAAGCCCCGGGCUCAACCCGGGAAUUGCAUUUGAGACUGCGUAGCUAGGGUGCGGAAGAGGGAAGCGGAAUUUCCGGUGUAGCGGUGAAAUGCGUAGAUAUCGGAAGGAACACCAGGGGCGAAAGCGGCUUCCUGGUCCAGCACCGACGUUCAGGCACGAAAGCGUGGGGAGCAAACAGG
rnacentral:rRNA from 1 species